GGGUCUGUCUUUUACGCACGUCCAGCUCGAACAAACGACACAGAGACCAGUUACAUUCAGACGGUAGCGGACAGCUUCUGGAGGUGCAGCUGCUCCACGUCUUCGCCAACAGGGAGCGCGUGCGUCAACACUGUAGCCAAACGCAUUAAAAGCAGUAAUUUCAGAUGUCCAGCAAAUUCCGGUCUAAGACAUGCUGCUCACAUGACAACAUGAUCGACGAAAACAGCUUUUCCCAGAGUUCAAUCGCUCAAAAAAUGUGGAAAGUGUAAAAAGAGUGGAGCGCCAUCUGAUCCAAGAAGGCGCAACUCAUCUCGGAUAGUCUCCAUCGACUCUACCUCUCCCGGGUAGUUACACAGGGGCUUUGAGGUGCUGGACAUUCAAGGGAAGUCAAUAAAUCGCUUCAAAUCCGCGUCUCUUGCAGGUUAUGAUGAAGCCGGCUAUACACGGCAAACAUACUGAGAGUGAAUUAAUCGACUGCAGCCACAGGCGCGUGGAUCCAAGAGCUCUUCCUGGGUGAAGAGAGUGACCACACGGGAACAAAAUAAAACACAGGAUUGUUUUGCAGUCAUCUCUUUGAAACAUCUCUCCCUAAAUGAAGGGAAAGCAUUGCUUUUAUACCACGCUGAGGACUGGCAAUGUUUUAUCUCAAAAAACGGAGAGGAGAAGAAGAUAUUUGACAUUUUGGAAAUUUUCUUCUCACCAAUGAACAGGUCAAGCGGUGAAUCUGAAAAAACUGAAACACAGGCUGAAAAAAAGAAAAGUUGUUUCUUGAAGUGUCAUUAAAUGUCACAUGUGGUUUGAAAAUCCA